AGUGGAAUUGCUGGGUCAUAGAAAUUUGUGUUUACUUUUAUAAGAAAUUGCCAAACAUUUUGCCAAAGCUGUACUAUUUUGAACUCCCACUAGCACA
rnacentral:pre_miRNA from 1 species